UAACAUCAAAGAGCUGAACAGAUAACCUACUGCCUGUUAUAUCCCUCACCUUGAUCAGAGAAGUAAACAUGCAAGGUUUAAACCACUAAAGCUACUAUCACAGGGUUGGCCCGUGGUCUCACCUCACCACUCAUCUUCCUGCAUGUGCCGCUUACAACUCUCUGGAGCAUAAGAACCUAAGAGGAGCCCUGCUGGAUCCGGCCACAGCCCAUCUAGUCCAGCAUCCCAUCUCACACAGUGCCCCACCAAUUACUUCUGGGUAUCCCAAGCAGAAGACAGAGGCAAAACCUUCACCUGUUCUCAGAUGGCCUUCAGAGGCAUCCUUGCUUUAGAGCAAGCCUUGCAAGGAUGAUUCCCUCCAGAUUUUGUUAGAACUCCCAAAUCCCAUCAGCUCUAGCAACAAACUCAGAUCAGCCAACAUUUCCUCAGUGAACAAGUCGCCCUGAAUUAUAGGCUUCCUGUCCAGCAUCCUAAAUUCAGGUAUGGAUUGAGCCAUGAGCUUCUGAAAGGAACUCUGUAGAAACCUCUUACUCUGCUCUAUGCUGUGGAGACAAUUUCCUGGCAUCAAGCAGAAUCCCAAUGGACAUCCCAAGAGUGCUUCUUUCAGGAACCUGUAGCUUCCAGAUUCUCCCAUAACUAUUCAUUCAUGCAUGCAUAUUUAUCUGUCCCCACCACCUAUGGUCCUGCAUUUCAGAUGUUGGAGGGUAUGCCUUCGGGAAGACAGGAAUUAUACCACCACAUAUGGCUCUAAAGACCUCUGGCUCUGCUAUCUACUUAGCCUUUGCAGAAUCUGUUCACCCACGACCCCUAAAUGUGCAAGAACAAGCAACAUGCUGGGUUAGGACCUGGGAGAGCACCGUUUAAAUCCCUCGUGCCCAUAGAAGUCGACAAAGCGAUCGCAAGUCAGACGACGCCUCUCACCUUGACUGGCUAUCCACAGGCUUCCUGUAAGCCUAUAAUAAAGCUUGUUUUUUUUACAGGCAGGAAUGGGAAUAUUGUGUACCUCUGCAAGAAUUUCAGCUCCAAUCUACUUCCUGGGUCUUUGGUCACAUUCACCACAUCCAACAAGAGUUAA
rnacentral:lncRNA from 1 species